UUCUCGGGAAAAAUCUUACCUUGUUGUCAGUGUUACAAGCCCUUGCUUGUCAAAGGAUCAGCAGUAGGUAAGAAAACAACAUCUCGGGCUUUCUUGAACACUCUAAACAUGAAAAUGUCAUCCAAAACAGAGCAAAGGGAAGAACUGCAGAAGUACCAUACUCCAUACUCAUUUGAAGAAAAUUCUGAAGCGUGACUAUUAAAACAUUCAAGUAAUACUCAGGAAGUAAUACUCUGCUGA
rnacentral:lncRNA from 1 species